GCUGUUGUUGUUAUUUUUGUUGUUGUUGUUGUUGUUGUUGCCACCUUCGUAGUGGCAGCGUUUAUGACCACCCAAGGCUUGGCCUGUAGGGAAACUCUUGUGGCAGAUGGAACACUCGUGAAGCCUACCGCUGCUGGUGGCGGUGGUGGCGGUGCUGGUUGUUGAUGGGUUAUCGACGUUGGCGGCGGCGGUGGUGGUAGCGGCGUCGGCGGAAAGGGGUUUGCGGUGGCUGGCUUUAUGACCGCCCAAAGCUUGAUAAGAAGGGAACGCCUUGUCACAAACACUACACUUGUAAGACAACUUCAAAGCAGGCGGCGGCGGAGGCGGUGACGACGAAGAGGAAGACCGACGAAUAACAUCAAGAUCAGCACCGGAAGAGCCGCGAGCGAGCAUGAUGAGACAAAGAGCGAGGUACUCUUCUUCGGUGGUGGGUUGAAGUUCAACAGCAGCAGGAGAGUCGCCACGUUGUCGCUUCGAACGCUUGCCUUUCUUCCAUGUCUCGACGUAAUUGUUGUCCACGUCAUCGUAUUUGUUGGUGAAAGGCGUCGCCGGCGAGUUCAGAGCUUCAAGCGCCAUAUCAAAUACUUC
rnacentral:lncRNA from 1 species